GCCGUUCUCAGUUCGGAUCGGAGUCUGCAACCCGACUCCGUGAAGCUGGAUUCGCUAGUAAUCGCGCAUCAGCCAUGGCGCGGUGAAUACGUUCCCGGGCCUUGUACACACCGCCCGUCACACCAUGGGAGUCAGUAACGCCCGAAGCCGGUGACCCAACCGAAAGGAGGGAGCCGUCGAAGGUGGGACCGAUAACUGGGGUGAAGUCGUAACAAGGUAUC
rnacentral:rRNA from 1 species